rnacentral:rRNA from 1 species
UACGGAGGGGGCUAGCGUUGUUCGGAAUUACUGGGCGUAAAGCGCACGUAGGCGGCUUCGCAAGUCAGAGGUGAAAGCCUGGGGCUCAACCCCAGAAUUGCCUUUGAGACUGCGUCGCUCGAAUCCGGGAGAGGCGGGUGGAAUUCCUGGUGUAGAGGUGGAAUUCGUAGAUAUUCGGAAGAACACCAGUGGCGAAGGCGGCCCGCUGGGCCUGCAUUGACGCUGAGGUGCGAAAGCGUGGGGAGCAAACAGG